rnacentral:rRNA from 1 species
GACGAACGCUGGCGGCGUGCUUAACACAUGCAAGUCGAACGGAAAGGCCCUGCUUUUGUGGGGUGCUCGAGUGGCGAACGGGUGAGUAACACGUGAGUAACCUGCCCUUGACUUUGGGAUAACUUCAGGAAACUGGGGCUAAUACCGGAUAGGAGCUCCUGCUGCAUGGUGGGGGUUGGAAAGUUUCGGCGGUUGGGGAUGGACUCGCGGCUUAUCAGCUUGUUGGUGGGGUAGUGGCUUACCAAGGCUUUGACGGGUAGCCGGCCUGAGAGGGUGACCGGCGACAUUGGGACUGAGAGACGGAGCAGACGCCUACGGGAGGCAGCAGUGGGGAGUAUUGCACAAUGAGCGGAAGCCUGAUGCAGCAACGCCGCGUGCGGGAUGACGGCCUUCGGGUUGUAAACCGCUUUCGCCUGUGACGAAGCGUGAGUGACGGUAAUGGGUAAAGAAGCACCGGCUAACUACGUG